rnacentral:tRNA from 2 species
UGCAUCUAUGGCCGAGCGGUUGAAGGCAGCGGGCUCAUAAUCCGUCAUCUGAAAAGAUAUCACUGGUUCGAAUCCAGUUAGAUGCAU